UACGGAGGGUGCAAGCGUUAUCCGGAUUCACUGGGUUUAAAGGGUGCGUAGGAGGGCAGGUAAGUCAGUGGUGAAAUCUCCGAGCUUAACUUGGAACUGCCGUUGAUACUAUCUGUCUUGAAUAUUGUGGAGGUGAGCGGAAUAUGUCAUGUAGCGGUGAAAUGCUUAGAUAUGACAUAGAACACCAAUUGCGAAGGCAGCUCGCUACACAUAUAUUGACACUGAGGCACGAAAGCGUGGGGAUCAAACAGG
rnacentral:rRNA from 1 species